AAACCAACAGGGAUUGCCCUAGUAACGGCGAGUGAAGCGGCAACAGCUCAAAUUUGAAAUCUGGCUUUCGGGCCCGAGUUGUAAUUUGUAGAGGAUACUUUUGAUGCGGUGCCUUCCGAGUUCCCUGGAACGGGACGCCAUAGAGGGUGAGAGCCCCGUCUGGUUGGAUGCCAAAUCUCUGUAAAGUUCCUUCGACGAGUCGAGUAGUUUGGGAAUGCUGCUCUAAAUGGGAGGUAUAUGUCUUCUAAAGCUAAAUAUUGGCCAGAGACCGAUAGCGCACAAGUAGAGUGAUCGAAAGAUGAAAAGCACUUUGAAAAGAGAGUUAAAAAGUACGUGAAAUUGUUGAAAGGGAAGCGUUUAUGACCAGACUUGGACUUGGUUAAUCAUCUGGGGUUCUCCCCAGUGCACUUUUCCAGUUCAGGCCAGCAUCAGUUUUCGCCGGGGGAUAAAGGCUUCGGGAAUGUAGCUCUCUUCGGGGAGUGUUAUAGCCCGUUGUGUAAUACCCUGGUGGAGACUGAGGUUCGCGCUUCUGCAAGGAUGCUGGCGUAAUGGUCAUCAACGAC
rnacentral:rRNA from 4 species